rnacentral:lncRNA from 1 species
CCCGCCCCCGCGGCCGCUGCGCGCCGGACGGGGCCCAAGCGGGGGUCGGAGCCUCAAGGCUGCGGCGGCGACGAGCUCCGAGCGGGACACUGAACGGCCCGUAUGCGCAAGAUAAGCACGGACUGAAUCAGGUACACGCACCUGCCGGGGACGCACUGACCGAGGUGCGGACGGCGGUACCAGGACAGGUAAAGCCGCGAACACUCGGACCUAAGAACUUGACAGGUACACCCUGCCUGAUGAAGCUACGUACGGCCAGGUGCGCAUCGAGUGAAUCAGAGACGAAGUUUCGCCAUGUUGCCCAGGCUGAUCUCAAGCUCUUGGGCUCAAGCAAUCCACCUGCCUUGGCCUCCCGAAGUGCUGGGAUUACAGCCUUCUUAGUGAAGCCACACUCAAUCUAUUGAAUACAUCUUCUGCUGACAUUCCACCUUGUCGCCGCCAUCUUGGCCUCUGAAAUAGAAUGGAGACCGGCUAUUAAACCAGUUUUUAGCAAAUUCGGAGCAGCAGGUUCUUGGCUGGGGGAAAAAAAUUCCACUUAUCAAGAGAUGUUUAUUCCUUCAAAGGGUGAGAACCUACUUCUUCAUAAAGAGAAUUUGGAGGGAGCUUUUUGUUCUGCGGGGACAACAUCUGGAUUUGAAUACAUCCAUGCUCAAAAGGAGAUUUCUCAUAAUGGACCCAACUGAAAGCACUCAGAGUACAAGGACCGGUGAGCUUUCAAAAGGAGACACUUCGGGAGACUCGCCAGGGGCCCUCGUAUCCCCGGCAGCGCGAGUUUUGGAGGUCAGUGGAGGGCUCUCGCAUCAUGCAUGUAACUUUCAUACUCAAAAACUUACCUUCAUCCUGCAUCCCUCACCCCCCUGCAGAAACUUGGGGCUUGAAUUCAUUUAAAAACAUUUGCGGUUUCAGAAGCCUUCUUUUUAUUAUGAAGCUGCCAAGGAGAUCUUAGAAUGAAAGGCAUUUUUAGAGAUGAGAAAGAAGGAAGCCAGGCCAAGGCUGGGCCGGCUCUCAGCCGUGGGUCUGUAAAGGUGACACGUGGGACAUGGCCACCUGCAGACCCUGCAGGCGGCUGGGCAGAGGCACCCACAGGGACCUGGGUUUGAAUCCCUGCUCUGCCAGUCAUUUCCACAGCGAUCUUGGGGGAAGUUGUGUAACCUCUGGGCCCUGCGACGCCCUUUCCUGGAGCCUGGAGCUGGAACGAAGCCCCUUGGAGCCCUGACAUCAGAGGUGACGUUAGUCUUCGCAGGCAAUGACUCGGCGGAAUGUGAUGCCACUCCCUAACCCGUGUCCGGACUGGCAGAGUGUGUGCCGCCUCCCACCAGGUGGUCUGGCUGCUUUGAUGGAUCUCCUAACUUCUCUGCACCCCAGAGCCCUCAGUGCUGGCCAGACCUUCACUCACUCCUGGGUGACAACCCCGUUCUCAGAUAGUGGGUCCCACAGGCUGGCCUGUGGCGCCCCCUGCUGGUGACUGCAGGGAGAAGGAUGCCCUAAGCCAAAGGAAGUCCUUCCUGGGGUCUAAUCUCUACCUUUUGCAUGAUGAGGCAGCUGAGGUGGCUCGCUUUCUCCUCCACCCCAGAAAAUAAAGUCAUAUGGAGUCCA